rnacentral:rRNA from 1 species
AUGAGAGAUCUUCACGCACAAAGUGAUCGGGCUUGGUUGAUCAUUGGGGACCUGAAUGAGAUAAUGUACACUUUUGAAAAAUAAGGGGGGAACACGAGGCAUGUAAAUUACAUGCAAGCGUUUCGGGAUGUUGUAGAUGAUUGUAACCUAACGGACCUUGGGUUCGUGGGAGAUAAUUUUACAUGGAAAAGAGGGAAAAUAUGAGCAAGGCUUGAUAGGGCUCUAGCGAACGAUGGGUGAAAUGAUAAGUUUGGUGCUGCAAUGGUAGAACAUAUGUAUUAUUACCCUUCGGACCAUAGACCGCUCCUGGUCAAUCUUGACCCUAUAGCGGACGUCCCUGCGGGUACAAGAGUGCUACGUUUUGAAUCAAAAUGGCUAAAGGAGGCAAGGUUCCAAUAA